GGACCCGUCGUGUAGGGGUAAGCAUGGUUGCCUCUCACCCAGUCGGCCUGGGUUCGAUCCCAGAAGGUCCG
rnacentral:tRNA from 1 species